UACGUAGGGCGCAAGCGUUGUCCGGAAUUAUUGGGCGUAAAGAGCUCGUAGGCGGCCUGUUGCGUCCGCUGUGAAAUCCCGGGGCUCAACCCCGGGCCUGCAGUGGAUACGGGCUGGCUGGAGGCAGGCAGGGGAGAACGGAAUUCCUGGUGUAGCGGUGAAAUGCGCAGAUAUCAGGAGGAACACCGGUGGCGAAGGCGGUUCUGUGGGCCUGUUCUGACGCUGAGGAGCGAAAGCGUGGGGAGCGAACAGG
rnacentral:rRNA from 1 species